CGUCAUCAAGCGUAGUAUCUACAAGCAAAGGCCAAACAAAUAUGACACCUAAGAAUAUGAGUGAAAAGUCAAGCCCCUGGUAGUGCAACUGAAGUAUGUAAGGGCCGUAAUGAUGUUAUUGUUGAUAAUGUUCCAUCAACUAAGGCUCAUGAAGUUGGAUAAUGAUGAAUCAGACAUGGUCAAUAAUGCGAAGGUUAUGGUCAAGUCUUCCUCGCAGCCAAGCACGUAAUAGGACCAAUAAGAACCAGCAGAAGCGUCAUCCUAUCAUGGUCGAGUUAUUAACCACUGGAAACCUCUACUAUGUUAUAGAUGGUCCUACGAAAACAAACUCUUUGUCACAAUAGGCUAAGGUCCACGUACAAUCUUCACUCAUUUCACGGGGCAAUUCUUAUGGUCCAGGUGGUAUGACCGGCAGGGCAGAAUAUAGACAUGAAAAAUAUGGGUUUUACGCACCUACUGGAUCUGCAAUUGAGAGUUUUCCCAAAGAGUCGAGGGGUGGCUAUGAAAAACAUAAUAAUAAUAAGCAAGGAAAAGCACAUGGCAUGUGUAGGUAACGGGUUUCAACCGAAUUGAUACAGUAUACUGCCAUUACUAGGCCUUUUCAAAUGAUAACAACUUCAGUUGGGAUAGCUGAUUUCAGAAGUGUUGAUUUCUACUGAUAUGCUACAAUUGUUCACUUCUUAGAGUCAUUCCACGACUGCAAAUAUAGACGUGAUGAAAAUCAAUUGUACAUAUUUUCUGCUGAUACGGUUCCUAGAUGGCUAACUGCAGCUUAACAUGUAGAUUUUCACACACUGGCAGCAGCUGAUAAGUUUGGGAAUAUCUACUUUGUGAGAUUACCUCAGGACGUCUCAGAUGAGAUUUAAGUUGAUCCUACUGGUGGAAAGAUAAAAUGGGAGCAGGGUAAGGGGAAGCUUAAUGGAUCCCCAAACAAGGUUGAAUGAAUAGUGGGAUUUCAUGUUGGUGAUUUGGUCUCUUGCCUACAAAGGGCAUCACUUAUUCUAGGAGGGGCCGAAUGUAUAAUCUACAGGACUGUGAUGGGUCGCUUCGGGGAAAUGUUUCCAUUUACAUCCAGGGAUGAUGUUGAAUUCUUCACUCAUUUGAAGAUGCAUUUAAGGAAAGAGUUUCCACCUUUAUCUGGCAGGGAUCACAUGGCCUACAGAUCUGCCUAUUUGUCAGUUUAGGUAGCUGAAGAAGCAAACCUUGGAUACAUGUGAAGUUGGCGACUUGUCUAGAAUAGAGCGAGGUGUUCAACUGAAGUUGCUGCUUUAAAGUUUGAUUUUGCUCGACUUCCAAAUGCCUCAAAAUAGCACCAAGUAUAUCAGUUGUACCAACAAUUAGAGCAAGGUUGCAGACUGGUUCCUACCAGCUGCAGCAGCAAACUUGUCUGCUGCCUACACGGGUACAUUUUUUUAUCAACUUAGACACUUCAUACGUAUAUCAUCGAUAUGAAGAAAAACCAUAUAAGUAUCAUACAUUUUCUUUUAGAGGAUUGAUUUUCCAAAUAUUCAAUCAACUAAUAGUUUUUAUCUCAAACAAUUACUUAUUUUCUUAAUUUUACUUUUUUUUCCCAACUUAAAAACUUUAUGAAAUAUUAA